rnacentral:lncRNA from 1 species
UGCAUUUGUCCAAACCAGCAACACUCAUCACUAAACCUCCGAUAUAGUAGUAACCAAUACCACCAUGCCACCGUUUUGUGCAGACUGCAAUCCCUGCAUUGUUGGCAACUGCAAUAGACCAGUCUGAACAAAGUCCAGGGCCAUUGAAGCUUACCGCAUAACUCCGUUGUUGCCUUGUAUGCCAACGUCGUUGAAUCUAGAAUAAGAUCGCCAUUCCUAUUGCCGCUAAACUAAACUUGUAGCAUCAAGGAACAAUUGAAUUUCAAUAUUGUUUCGCGGUGCCAUAAUGCUACCAAUAACAACAAGAGGGAGCGCAACAAUUCUCUUGCCACACAAUACGGAACUAAAAUGAAAUAAAAAGCCACCAUGACUUGAGCCACCCCAACUCCUCGACCAGAUCGGCACAUUGUCACUACAAUCCGCAAGGCCUUGCUGCAGCCGCAGCAUGCACCUGUCAAUUUCAACAACCAUAGACUCUACCUAACGCAGAGUUGUCAAAUCGCACAUAAUGCCAACCUUCGACAGCUCGUUCCCCGUUGAUCUUCAACGGCUAGAAUAAAACCGAUAUCAACCCAGUCCACUAAAAUAAAAAAAAAUAAAAAU